rnacentral:tRNA from 1 species
GCCGGGAUGGUGAAAUGGUAUACACGCAGGGUUUAGGACCCUGUGCCUGCAAAGGCGUGGAGGUUCUAGUCCUCUUCCCGGCA